UCAAGUGACUAAGUGUAUGUGGUGGAUGCCUUGGCGAUCACAGGCGAUGAAGGACGUAGUAGCUUGCGAUAAGCUGCGGGGAGCCGGCAAACGGGCUUUGAUCCGCAGAUUUCCGAAUGGGGGAACCCACCGACUUAGGUCGGUAUCACGUACUGAAUACAUAGGUGCGUGAGGCGAACGGAGCGAACUGAAACAUCUAAGUAGCUCCAGGAAAAGAAAUCAACCGAGAUUGCGAAAGUAGCGGCGAGCGAAAUUGCAGCAGCCCAGUGUUCUGAUAGCACGAACGACAGCAGAAGGGUCUGGAAAGGCCUGCUACAGAGGGUGAUAGCCCCGUAUGCGAAAUCGGACGUGUGGUACUAAGGAACCGAUAAGUAGGGCGGGACACGUGACAUCCUGUCUGAAGAUGGGGGGACCAUCCUCCAAGGCUAAAUACUCGUGAUCGACCGAUAGUGAACCAGUACUGUGAAGGAAAGGCGAAAAGAACCCCGGGAGGGGAGUGAAAUAGAACCUGAAACCGCAUACAUACAAACAGUAGGAGCCCCUGCAGUGGGGUGACUGCGUACCUUUUGCAUAAUGGGUCAGCGACUUACGUUUUGUGGCGAGCUUAACCGAGUAGGGGAGGCGUAGCGAAAGCGAGUUCGAAUAGAGCGAAGAGUCUCAAGGCGUAGACCCGAAACCAGAUGAGCUAUCCAUGGCCAGGUUGAAGGUGUGGUAACACACACUGGAGGACCGAACCGACUAGUGUUGCAAAAUUAGCGGAUGAGCUGUGGAUAGGGGUGAAAGGCUUAACAAAUCUGGAGAUAGCUGGUUCUCCCCGAAAACUAUUGAGGUAGUGCCUCGUGUAUUGCUCCAGGGGGUAGAGCACUGUUAUGGCUAGGGGGACAUGGCGUCUUACCAAACCAUGGCAAACUCCGAAUACUUGGAAGUAAGAGCACGGGAGACAGAGCACCGGGUGCUAACGUCCGGACUCAAGAGGGAAACAACCCAGACCGCCGUUUAAGGUCCCAAAUAUUGACUAAGUGGAAAACGAAGUGUGAAGGCUAAGACAGUCAGGAAGUUGGCUUAGAAGCAGCCAUCCUUCAAAGAAAGCGUAAUAGCUCACUGAUCGAGUCCUCAUGCGCGGAAGAUGUAACGGGGCUAAGUCAAUAACCGAAAGCGCGGAUUUGCAUGAAAAUGCAAGUGGUAGGGGAGCGUUCUGUAAGCCUGCGAAGGUGGUUCGAGAGGACUGCUGGAGGUAUCAGAAGUGCGAAUGCUGACAUGAGUAACGUUAAAGCGGGUGAAAAGCCCGCUCGCCGUAAGCCCAAGGUUUCCUGCUCUACGUUCAUCGGAGCAGGGUGAGUCGGCCCCUAAGGCCAGGCUGAGAAGCGUAGUCGAUGGGAAGCAGAUUAAUAUUUCUGCACCAUGUGCAAGUGCGAUGGGGGGACGGAGUGCGAAAGAUCAUCCGGGUGUUGGAUGUCCCGGUUUGUGAGUGUAGAAGGCCGACAGGCAAAUCCGUCGGCGGAUCUUCGAGACAAAGCAUCGAGGUUCUACGGAACCGAAGUGAUCGGAAGUGCUUCCAGGAAAAGCCUCUAAGCUUCAGCUUGCAUAUGACCGUACCGUAAACCGACACUGGUGGGCGAGUUGAAUAUACUCAGGCGCUUGAGAGAACUCGGGAGAAGGAACUCGGCAAAUUGACACCGUAACUUCGGGAUAAGGUGUGCCUUUGUAGCGUGAAGAGAGAAACGCUCGGAGCGUGAAGAGGCCUCAGAGAAUCGGUGGCUGCAACUGUUUAUUAAAAACACAGCACUCUGCAAAGACGAAAGUCGACGUAUAGGGUGUGAUGCCUGCCCGGUGCUGGAAGAUUAAGUGAUGGGGUGAGAGCUCCUGAUCGAAGUCCCAGUAAACGGCGGCCGUAACUAUAACGGUCCUAAGGUAGCGAAAUUCCUUGUC
rnacentral:rRNA from 1 species